rnacentral:rRNA from 1 species
UCCGGUGGCGAUGCGCUUAGGGGACACACCCGUUCCCAUCCCGAACACGAUGGUUAAGACUUAAGCGGCCGAUGAUACUAUGCUGGAGACGGCAUGGGAAAGCAGGUGGCUGCCGGAU